UCUCGCCGCGGGUCGGCUAAGGCCCAUUGGUUAAAACCCAUUGGUUAAAACCCAUUGGUUAAAACCCAUUGGUUAAAACCCAUUGGUUAAAACC
rnacentral:tRNA from 1 species